rnacentral:rRNA from 1 species
ACGCUCGACACCUACGGGAGCAGCAGUGGGGGAUAUUGCACAAUGGGGGAAACCCUGAUGCAGCAACGCCGCGUGAAGGAAGAAGGUCUUCGGAUUGUAAACUUCUGUCCUCAGGGAAGAUAAUGACGGUACCUGAGGAGGAAGCUCCGGCUAACUACGUGCCAGCAGCAGCGGUAAUCUGAGCGGGCUGGCAAGGC